rnacentral:lncRNA from 1 species
GUUUCACCAGUGACUUGGUGACAACCAGCCUUGCUCACGAAGCGUCAGCCGUAUCCUUUCUGUGUGCAGUGGGGUGUGGGUUGUGUGGAGCCGCGGUGUCUGUGGAAUUCACAGGCUGGGGCCGGAAUCCAUGGCCCCCGUCGCCGCUGCCACCCCCCAGAUCCAUUAUUUAUUCUUCUCCAUCUUGUUCUGUGUUCCUGGAAGCCAACCUUUAUAAGCUGCAGGAAAUGGAUUUCCUACUCUCCACCUUCUGAUUGGGCUUGACCAACGGGGAGCACUGGCAGAAGACAAGCAUGGGAGGAAAAAGAGAUCAGGGCUGGAGUGCAGUGGCGUGAUCUCGGCUAGCUACAACCUCCACCUCCCAGCCGCCUGCCUUGGCCUCCCAAAGUGCCGAGAUUGCAGCCUCUGCCUGGCCGCCACCCCGUCUGGGAAGUGAGGAGCGCCUCUGCCCGGCCGUGACCCCGUCUGGGAACUGAGGAGUGUCUCUGCCCGACCGCCACCCCAUCUGGGAGGCCCAGCAUCCAAUUCAGUCGCCUUCAAGGAGUCUCUUCAGUCUAAUUUAUUCUAGAACAAUUCUUCAGGCUUCCCUUCUCUGGCCAAGAUUUUUGAAAAAUACAGGUCAAUGACUUUGUAGGUUGUCUUCAGUUUGGAUUUGUCUGCUGUGUCCUCAUGAUUUAUGCAUCUCUGGCAGGAAUACCACAGAAACGAUGCGACAUUCUUCUCAGUGUACCAUAUUAGGAGUCACACAAUGUCAACUUGUCCCAUUACUGCUGAUGUUAAUGUUUACCACUUGGCUAAGAUGAUGUCUGCCAGGUUUCUCCACUGGAAAGUUAACAGUAUUUAGUACGUGUUAAGUGAUGAGUAAUGAAUAAAUAUUUCAUAGGGAGAUGUUCUGAGAGUA